GUGGCGUCCUUUUCUCCCUUCUCUUUUCCUCUCUGGCUUGAUUGGGGAAGAGUUCAUCUCCUUGCCGUCGCGCGCCAUGGAUACAUGGAGAAGAAGAGAGUAGCGUCGGAGUUUGGACUUCGUUUGCCUUCCUAUCCACCGUUGCAUCCUCCUCCUUUUGAAAACGUUUGAUCUCAGAGUCGCUUCGAGGGAGUUCGUCCACUUUUUCCAAUGGGCUUCCUCCUAUCCACCGUUGCUUUUUGGAGGGAUAUUAGUCGCGAAUUGGCGAAUUAGAUAAUCGGACAAGAAAUCUGUUCCAGAUAUUUCAGAUAGUGACUGAAUGGGAAAUAAUGAAAAAAAAUGACGUCUCCAAAAACCGAGAAAAUGCCUUCACCUGUGCAGGUAAUUCAGUAGCAGGGAGCUUAAAGAAUAAUCGGCUUUCGUGCUUUCAAUAUGUCACAUUGCAGCAGCAACCUGCAUUUCAUCCACAUGCUGACUGGGCAGCUAUGCAGGCAUAUUAUGGCCCUGGUUAUGCGCCUCAUCCAUACUUGUGAUGCUUCCUCCUUAUUUCAGCGCUUCAAUUGUGCCUGGUUAUGUGCCUCAUCCAUACAUUUAAAUUAUUUGAUAAUGUUAACUAUAGAGUCUUCAAUUGCAACUUUAUCUAAAAGGAGAUUUAUUAUUUAUAAAAGGUGAACCAUGUCUUAGUUUAUGUAAGUGGCAUUAUUCUUGCCUUCAAACUUUUAUGUAUAAUUAAUAAACAAAAGAGGAAUUGGCACGUCAUAUGUAUCAACAGUUACUCUCUUCAAACUGAUCAAACUGUAUACACAACUAGUGCUAAGUUGAUAUAUUGACACCAAAUUGGAGAAUAGUCUAACAUCUUUAACAGUUUACAAGCUAGUACUUGGAGGAAAUUAUGGUAAUUAUGGUGAGGUGCGGAAGGGAAUACUCCAGUAGAAACACAGAAACUGAAUGAUUUGCAAGAAUAGAGAUGUGCACAUGCAUUAAGAUUUCACAAUGUAAAUGAAGUGUCAACUGUUGGUCAAUCAACUAAGAAUCGAACUGCAAAAGAAUGUUAUUAGACACAGCAUAUGCACUGUAUAAGAUGAGUAUUAUCAUGACUUUAAUUCAUCAGUCUUGAUGUUGUUAUUUUUCAUGGACUCAGCCCUUUAUCCCUCCUUUUGGGUCACCAUAUGCUGGAAUGUAUCCUAAUGGAGCUUAUCCUCACUCAAUGAUACCUCCCCUAAGUGGUUCUUUGCGACCUACCAUCUUUUCUACAUUGAACUUUGCUUGGGGUGUGGGAUAUAUGGCAGCUAGUUUAUGCACAGAAUAAAAUGUGCCUGAUAAUUUAUUAGAAUUUCUUUCAUUGUGCACCAUGUUUCUAUUUGCAGGGUGCCCAAUCCUGCAGCAACUGUAGCAGUAGCAGUGAGGAAUAUUUACUUGCAAUUUAUUUAUUGAUAUUGGUUAUAGUGUUUCAUUAGAAGCAUAAAUUCUUUCCCUGGAGUUCAACUUUCUUCGCAUAUUUGGCCCUAUUUUACAGAUGGCAACUCCUUUGAGUGUAAAGGCUCCUAAUACAUCACUAGGGUGCAAGGACAAAGGGCUAACAACUAAGCUUUAGAAAUACCAGAUAAAAGGAUCGUCUUUCGGAAUUUGAAAAGAAAUCUGGAUUAUGCCCGGAUUUUAUUUCCCUCGAAAACUUAGCACACAAGGAAAACUUAGCACUAAGAAGGAAUGAGCUUCUUGGUUUUUCUCAAGGAUGCUCAAACCCCUUACUCUCAUAGCUUUUAAAUAGGCGAGAGUAGGUUGUGAAAUGAUGAAGGCAGGUACUCUGUUUGGCCCCAUCGUCCCUCCAUUAUUCACCCUAUGUCUGCCAUUAAAGCUUUACAGCACACUCUACACUCUUUACAGCACACCUUACACUCUUUACAUCACAUCACAUCACUUUGGGAAAGGAUGGCUCCCCGAGGCUCGAUCCUUUCAUAAAAUAAUACACUUAUUAAAGUAGCAUGUUUUGCCCACCACUGCUUCCAUGUUAUGGUGGGAUUGCUUUUACUUCGUGCCCUAUUUGUUGUACACGUUGCAUCUCUAUGAAUAGGUCCUUUUGAUGCUUCCUUAUCUUUUCAAGAUUUUUGUGAUAAUAGCUAUCCCAUCCCCCUUCUGCAUGUCGUCUUCUGUUAAAGUCAAAUUCCUUCAUAUGUAGGAUAAGCUCCAGUUCACGAAGGCAUUCCAGCACGUUGCCAAUUGCCUCAUCUUCAAUCUUAGCCAUUCGAUUUCUUUUCUCAUGCUCUUUCUUUAGAAAAUUUUUUGAGAACGUAUCACUAAUUAAAUCUUCAUAUUCAGUUAAUAAAGGGAAUCGAUGAACAGGCUGCUUCUUCCUCAGCAUCAGUACGAGUUGGUGGUCCAAAUGCCACUUCUCCUUCUUUGGUUAUGACCGCCAAUGUUUCUGGUUCUUCUACUAGUCUUGAGAGCGUAUCUGCAAGAAUAUUUAAUUUACCAUCUAUGUGUUCAAAGUUUACCUUUACUCCCGUGCCUGUAAUGUAAUCAGUGAAUGCAAGCCAGCGAACCCUUGAUGGUUUAUUUCUUGAGGUUUUAUUAUAGAAACUGAUAAUAGCCUGACAAUCCGUCCGCAAAGUGAUUUCUAACUUGUCCAUGCAGUGGAUUUUUAGUGCAGUCAUAGUUUCCAUUGCAGCAUAUAUUUCCGCGUCAAUAACUGAUUUUACUACCGGAAAUUUCUCAUGAGCAUAAGCACAUACUUUCUCCAUAUUUCUGGAUCAUACUUGUUGGGCUUCCAUUUACAAACUCCACCCCAGCCUGUCAUGGAUCCAUCAGUUUCUAGAACAAUAUAAGCAUUUUCUGGUGGGAUUUCUAAAUUUGGUAAGUUAUUAACUUGGGCUUUGAUUUCUUUGACUAAAGCCCAAUCCGAGCUUUUCAUCCGUUUAUCUCCAUGAGGUGAUGUUUUUUCAUACAGAGGUCCCAGCUUUGAACUUAAAUUAGGAGUAUAGGUUCGUGCAUAGUUGAGGAUUCCAUCAUAGCUUUGAACGAUGGGAUUUGGAUCCACAACUCAAAAGGAAUUCAUGAUUCCAAGUGAAUCAGAACAGCAGCAUAUGAACAAAGGCAAGCAGGUACAGGAAACAUAUAUUUUUGAUGUCUUAUUGCCACGCGAACUUGAGGACUAUUGGCCAUUAACACUACACAAAGAUCAUCCACAUACAUCUUGCACAAGGCAAUAUUUUGAUUCCUCAUUCAGAAACUUAAUUGAAGGGGUAUCUUCUAUUGAAGAAUAUUAUGAGGAGCAGCAAUACAAUUUACAUCUACCAGCCACUCCUGCACCUACUCCUAUUAUUAUUGAAGAUGAUCAGGACGAUUUAUAUGUUCUCUAUGAUACUGAUGAAUGGAUUAAUCCAUUCGCGGAAGGUGGUGGAAGCUCAUCUACCUCAUCUACAACAACAGUAGACUUUUAUUCGGCUGAAGAUCCUGACUUUUAUUCGACUGAAGAUCCUGAGGAUUGUUAUUUUACCAGCGAAUACAUGACUACAUUACAAACUGAGCUAGACUAUCCAUUACAAAGAUCCAGUAAUGAAAGCUUGCUAGCCUCUUCAUCAGCAGUUUCAACAUACAAUCCACCAACAGAUGCUAUUAUGGGACCUCCACAAUUUGCCCCUGCUACAAUAAAAAUAGAACCACCAAAUGUCUAUAAUGAUCCUGAUUAUUACAAGGCAAAGGUGGGAAGACAGCGAAAGGCAAAUAACAAUGAAAAUUGGACAUUGCCAUCGGUGCAACGGCAAACAGGUGCAAUGUUAAUUCUUCCAGAUAAUAUUGGGUUAUAUCAUGAUAAAAUUUCCAGAUGGGAAUCAAUAACCACUAAUGUGGUGGAUUCGAAAAUAUGGGCUGACAACAGAACCAAGGUCCAGUAUAUUGAAAAUUUGCUUGGAGAAAUAGAAAAGAAGACUUUUAUUCAAUGGAGAAUGAUGUUCCCAGAUCAGUAUGAUAAGCUAAUAGAAGCAGCUGAUGAAACAUAAAAUGUUCUAACCCAGAUUAGAAGGAUUAUAACUCUUGAAGACCCAGUUUCAGGAUCAAUUGCGGAACAAAACCAAGCUUAUUUGGAUCUUGAGAGACUGGUAUGCCUUGAUACUAAAAAUUUAGUUUCUUAUAUGAAUGAGUAUAAAACAUUGGCAGCAAAAACAGGCGCAUGUUCAUCAAUGAGGAACUCUCUAGUAAUUUCUAUAGAAAAAUGCCGCCAUUAAUUGGAAGCUAUCUGGAGAAGAAGUUCCAAGAAAAGCACCCAGGAAACACUAUAGGAGUACUCCCGCGAAUACAUCAUGCAUACCAAGAAUUAACAGAGAUGUGUAAACAGGCCUCUUUACAACGAAGCCUAAAAGAUUUGCAGUUCUGCUCACAAAUACUAAUACGUUCAUACUAUCAUCAGUCAUCCCGACGUUAUGGCCUAAGAAAAGGAAGGACAUACAAAGGGAAACCUCAUAAGUCUCAUGUGCGGAUUAUCAAGAAGAAAUAUCAGAAUGACCGAGCAAAGGUACGAAAAUGCAAAUGUUUUAGUUGUGGAGAAGGUCACUUUGCACGAGACUGCAAAAAUAGAUCCGGAAAUAAAGAAAGAAUAGCUAUCCUCAACAAAUUAGAUCUUCCAGAUGAUUAUGAUGUGGUGUCAGUAGAUCUUGAGGAAACAGACAGUGACGCAAUUUGCAGUUUUUCUGAAGGAGAAAUUAACACAGAACAAUAUUGCAGCAUGGUAACUAGUUCUCUACCUGAAACAUUAUUUAUGCUAAUAGGGGAAACCCAUGGAUUGCAGGUUCAGGUAGACAUACUAGAGGAACAAUACUACUGCGAACAUGAAUGGCAACUAAAUCAGGAAAUUGGCUCCCAAUUCCUCAAAUGUAUAUUCUGCAAGAUGAAUACCACGCAAAGAGCAAGAGGUCACUGUAUGAAUUGUAAGUUAACAACAUGUACUCUAUGGGCAGGAUAUUAUUUAAAAACAUCCUUAAGGCCAUCACCACCACCAACGGUACAGUAUGAUGAUAGAAAUCUAAUUUCUGAACUUGUCAAUUAUACCCAGUAUUUGUUAGCAGAAAACAGGAGGUUACAGGAUGAACUAACUAGAGUAUUGAGAAGGAAUCAAGACUCAAAAAAUCAAUUGACAAAAGAAUUAUUGGAAGAUCUGCAACAAUUAUCAAUCGAAGAUCUUCAUAUGGGAAAAGAGCAAAUAUCCUAUUUGGAAGAACAAAUUAUAUCCAAAAUAACUGAUGGACAGAAAUCACAAAGAGGUAUGAUAAAUCGCCUGUAUAAUAUUAAGGUUGGCUUUGAGAUACAAGGGAUACCCCCAUUUAGCGUGAAUGCUAUAUUGGAUACGGGAGCAACAUCUUGCUGCGUUGACAUCAAAUCAGUCCCAGGUCAGGCUAUUGAACAAAACUCAUAUUCUAUUACAAUUAAUGGUGUAAAUUCGCAUCAGGAGGCAAAUAUAAAGAUGAAGAAUGGGCAAAUGACUAUAGGGGAAAACAAAUUCAGAAUUCCCUUUACCUAUUCCUUUAAUAUGACUUUGGGAAGAGGUAUUCAAAUGGUAUUGGGUUGUAAUUUUAUACGAAGUAUGCAAGGAGGAGUCCGGAUUGAAGGCAAUACAAUCGCAUUCUACAAAAAUGUGACAACCAUCAAUACAAACCAGAGUGCUGGGGCCGCCAUUGAAAAACUUAGUCUUGAAGAGCUGGAGUAUAUUCAAAUUCAAGAAGAAGUAUAUUUUACAAGUAUAAUUUCCAAGCAAAAUAUUCUUGCUAAGCAUGGAGCAUUAAUUAACAGGUUAAGAGAGCAAGGAUAUAUAGGGGAGAAUCCUUUACAACACUGGUCGAAAAAUGGCAUUCUAUGUAAGAUUGAUAUUAUCAAUCCAGAUAUCACAAUACAAGAUAAGCCGUUAUCCAGUAUCACACCUGCAAUGAAGAAAACCUUUGAAAAGCAUAUAGAGGUACUUUUGAAAUUAAAGGUUAUUCAACCAAGUAAAAGCAGACACAGAACUAUGACAAUGAUAGUCCAGUCAAGAACAUCAGUUGAUCCAGUCACAAGAAAGGAAACAAAAGGAAAGGAGUGUAUGGUCUUUAAUUACAAGGCACUUAAUGAUAAUACAUACAAAGAUCAGUACAGUCUUCCCGGGAUCAACACGAUACUUAAAAAGGUUGAUAAUUCAAAAGUAUAUUCUAAAUUUGACUUAAAGUCUGGUUUUCAUCAAAUUGCUAUGGAUCCUUUCUCUAUUGAAUUGACGGCUUUUAUAUGCCCAUCUGGAUUAUUUGAGUGGCUGGUGAUGCAUUUUGGCCUAAAGAAUGCACCUGUUGUAUUUCAAUGAAAAAUGGAUCAGUGUUUCCAAGGUACGGAAGACUUUAUCUCUAUAUAUAUUGAUGACAUCUUAGUAUUUUCCAACACAGAAAAGGAGCAUAUUAAACAUCUGGCAUUAUGCUAAGCAUUUGUGAAGAACAUAGGUUAGUCUUAUCUCCUUCAAAAUGCAAAAUUGGAGUUCCGAAAAUAGAAUUUCUUGAAGCAGAAAUUGGGGAGGGAAAGUUAAAGCUACAACCCCAUAUCAUAAAAUAAAAAAAAAUUGAAUUCAAGGAUAUGCAGCUAAAGGUAAAGAAAGGGUUACGGUCAUGGUUGGGAAUCCUCAACUAUGCACGAACCUAUAUUCCUAAUUUAAGUUCAAAGCUGGGACCUCUGUAUGAAAAAACAUCACCUCAUGGAGAUAAACGGAUGAAAAGCUCGGAUUGGGCUUUAGUCAAAGAAAUCAAAGCCCAAGUUAAUAACUUUCCAGAUUUAGAAAUCCCACCAGAAAAUGCUUAUAUUGUUCUGGAAACUGAUGGAUCCAUGACAGGCUGGGGUGGAGUUUGUAAAUGGAAGCCCAACAAGUAUGAUCCCAGAAAUAUGGAGAAAGUAUGUGCUUAUGCUCAUGGAAAAUUUCCGGUAGUAAAAUCAGUUAUUGACGCGGAAAUAUAUGCUGCAAUGGAAAUUAUGACUGCACUAAAAAUCCACUACAUGGACAAGUUAGAAAUCACUUUACGGACGGAUUGUCAGGCUAUUAUCAGUUUCCAUAAUAAAACCUCAAGAAAUAAACCAUCAAGGGUUCGCUGGCUUGCAUUCACUGAUUACAUUACAGGCACGAGAGUAAAGGUAAACUUUGAGCACAUAGAUGGUAAAUUAAAUAUUCUUGCAGAUACGCUCUCAAGACUAGUAGAAGAACCAGAAACAUUGGCGGUCAUAACCGAAGAAGGGGAAGUGACAUUUGGACCACCAACUCGUACUGAUGCUGAGGAGGAAGCAGCCUGUUCAUCACGAUUCCCUUUAUUAACUGAAUAUGAAGAUUUAAUUAGUGAUAUGUUCUCAAAAAAAUUUCUAAAGGAAGAGCAUGAGAAAAGAAAUCGAAUGGCUAAGAUUGAAGACGAGGCAAUUGACAACGUGCUGGAAUGCCUUCGUGAGCUGGAGUUUAUCUUACAAAUGAAGGAAUUUGACUUUAACAGAAGACGACAUGCAGAAGGGGGAUGGGAUAGCUAUUAUCACAAAAAUCUUGAAAAGAUAAGGAAGCAUCAAAAGGACCUAUUCAUAGAGAUGCAAUGUGUACAGCAGAUAAGGCACGAAGUAAAAGCAAUCCCACCAUAACAUGGAAGCAGUGGUGGGCAAAACAUGCUACUUUAAUAAGUGCAUUACUUUAUGAAAGAAUUGAGCCUCGGGGAACCAUCCUUUCCCAAAGUGAUGUGAUGUAAAGAGUGUAGAGUGUGCUGUAAAGCUUUAAUGGCAGACAUAGGGUGAAUAAUGGAGGGACGAUGGGGCCAAACAGAGUAACCGCCUUCAUCAUUUCACAACCUACUCUCGCCUAUUUAAAAGCUAUGAGUGUAAGGGGUUUGAGCAUCCUUGAGAAAAACCAAGAAACUCAUUCCUUCUGAGUGUAAGUUUUCCUUCUGAGUGCUAAGUUUUAAUGCUGCUGUGGGCAAUAUAACUUCAAAUACUGCUGCAAGUGCUCGACGACAUGGGCUGCAAGGACAAAGGGCUAACAGCUAAGCUUAAUGCUGCUGUGGGCAAUAUAACUUCAGAUACUGCUGCAAGUGCUCGACAACAUGAGCUGUCACAUAGGUUUUUCUGAGUGCAUAUUUGUGGAUUAGCAUUGCUGAAAUUCAGUGAGCAAAAGUUUGCUUUCAGUGGAGAUCCAAGUAUGUCUUUAUUACACAUGUACAGUGAUUAUAAUAGUGCAGAUUGGUCUAGCAAUGGAAGUGAUGGGAGUAAUUCAGCCAGAGUAAUGCCCCGUUUUCCUUUUUUCAAUUCCUUUGUUGCUUUCAAUAAUGUCUAGUACUUUUAUGGGAUCGCACGAAUAUCACAUCUAUUCAGAAUACCCUCUCUUGUAAUAGGGAUCUAGCAACCAAAGAAAUGUUGGUUCUGAAGAUAGACCAUCAUCAGCUAUCAUUGUCCAAGCUAGCUUGUACUGUAAUUCCUUGAAUUGCGUUCUUCCAGUUUGCCUAAAUCAAACAAAUAAUACCUCCUUUUAAAGUCAUUAGAUAUGCUUUUUAACUGCAGAUGAUAGAAAAAGUGACAUGGAUUCUAAUCCUGUCAAUGAUGGAGAAAGAAGUACAUCCUUGAAAGUUUCUUCAGGAGUUUCUGGGACAGCUGGUCUAACUCAAGCAUUUUCAGUGAAAAAAAAUGGCACACCUGUGCCCCAAACAACUAUGAUACCUGGUUGUGACGCUGUACCUUCUGAACCAUAUAGAUGCAGGUGCGUGGAAUCUCCACUCCAGACUCGGAUCCAUUGAGAAUAGAGAACUCAACUUUAUUGGAUAGACUGAAAAACUCGCAAUUGAUCUAAGCAGAACUAUUGUCUCUUCCGGAAGAGGAGAUUGGAACUGCACCAUCAAUUUGCUGCUGCAAACUUCUUGUCAAUGAUCGAUAAACCAAGCUCGAUUAGUCCACUGAAAAGCUAGAAGAUGACAGCUGUGGCAGGCCCAGAGAUGGGUAUAUUCCUGGGAAUUACGCACGUGGCUAUGUCCUGAGUCAAUCCUCGUUGCCACUGUAGACGAAACCAAAUUCACAAAUUAGCUUCCUGAAUUGCAUGCCCUAUUUGCCGCUCUUUGGUUCAUCGAAUGUGGACGCCAUUUCGAUCAGGAUGUCCACAUUCAUUGAACCUCGGUAGGAGCUGAGCAUCCAUCUCAUUAAGCAGACCCAACAAAUCAAACCUUUGGCGACUCGUCGGGUUCUUUCUCCUCCUCCUCCUCCUCCUCACUUUGUGCUUCCGCUCUCCGUCUUCUCUCCGAGUUCCGAGAGAAUCAGCCAAUCACAAGAAGCCUAAACCCUGACUCACUUAUCUUUGAUGAUCUAGGAACGGCCGUUGCGGGUCUUCGCUUUCUCUGCUUUCAUGGAGGAGUUGACGAAAUCUUCCCGUGCUCAUAGUUUGAUUGGCCAAAGGGUCCUCUCAUGACAAGGUUCGUGGAAAAGAACAUGCUGUCCAUGGAUUUUGCUUCCUGCAGCUCCAUGCAAUCAGGAGGUCAAUUCAGUACUCAAGUGAAGAUACCAGUUGAUUUGCUUCCAAAUGUGUACGAUUACACUCCCAUCA